rnacentral:tRNA from 1 species
UCCCUCGAGCCGGAUUUGAACCAGCGACCUAAGGAUCACCGUUGUAACAUCUACAGUCCUCCGUUCUGCCAACUGAGCUAUCGAGGG